rnacentral:tRNA from 1 species
GUGGGUAUAGCUCAGUGGUAGAGCAGAUGGUAAGCAUGCACAAGGUCCUGGGUUCAAUCCCCAGUACCUCCA